AUGUACCUGCGAUGCGCCGUCCACGACAACCCGAGGCGAUGGCGCAAGUGGCUUCCGGCAGCAGAGUUCUGGUAUAACUCCACACACCACGCGUCUCUCAAGUGCUCGCCGUUCAGAGCGCUCUACGGCGUUGACCCCAACCUGGGUGGGUUACCUCACUUCAGCGCUGACUCAACCCCGGGCGCACCUGCGGAGGAGGUGCACUGGGCAGCACACACUGAACGCCUCCGUGCUCAGCUUGCUCACGCUCAGUCGCGUUUCAAGAAGCAGGCUGAUCGCCACCGUGCCGAGCGUGCGUUCGACGUCGGCGAGCAAGUGCUGCUAAAGCUGCAACCGUACGCCCAAUCGUCGGUUGUGAAUCGCCCUUGCCGGAAGCUCUCCUACAAGUUCUACGGGCCGUUCAUGGUGACCGAACGGAUCGGCAACCUAGCAUACCGUCUUCAUCUUCCAGCCGACAGCCGAAUCCAUCCGGUAUUUCAUGUUUCUCAGCUGAAGCCGUACACCCCUGAUUACACCCCCGUCUUCUCCGAGCUGCCGCAGGUGCCGGACUUGGUCACCAGUGAGACGGAACCAGUGGCCAUUGUGGAGCGUCGUAUGAUGAAGAAAGGAGAUGCGCCAGUAAUCCAGCUACAAGUGCAGUGGUCCAAUCGGUCCCCAACAGCCACAACCUGGGAAGACUAUGCCACCUUAAGGGAGCGCUACCCAUCGGCCUGCAUCUGGGAAGGAGCUUCUUCUCAAGACGGGGGCAAUGUCACGCCUGCAGAUGACGAUCUGCAGCGGACUGCAAGUGCAGUUCAGAACUACUGUUAA
rnacentral:rRNA from 1 species